rnacentral:rRNA from 1 species
UACAGAGGGUGCUAGCGUUGUUCGGAAUCAUUGGGCGUAAAGGGCGUGUAGGCGGUUUGCUAAGUCAUGUGUGAAAUCCCUCGGCUUAACCGGGGAACGACGCAUGAAACUGGCAAGCUAGAGUACCAAAGAGGGGGGUGGAAUUCCCGGUGUAGCGGUGAAAUGCGUAGAUAUCGGGAAGAACACCAGUGGCGAAAGCGCUCUACUGGGCCAUAACUGACACUGAGGGACGAAAGCUAGGGGAGCGAAAGGG